rnacentral:rRNA from 1 species
GGGGGGGGGGGGGGGGGGGGGGGGGGGGUGGGGGGCGGAGGGGAGGGCGCUGCGGGGGGGGGGUGCGCGAGGGGCGGACGGGUGGGUAACCCGUGGGUAACCUGCCCGGUACUUUGGGGUAACUUCCGGACACUGGGGCUAAGCCCGGCUCGGCGCUCCGGCGGCAUGGGUGGGGGGGGAGCGUUUCGUCGGUUGGGGCUGGACUCGCGGCUGAUCAGCUUGUUGGUGGGGUAGUGGCUUACCAAGGCUUUGACGGGUAGCCGGCCUGAGAGGGUGACCGGCCACAUUGGGACUGAGAUACGGCCCAGACUCCUACGGGAGGCAGCAGUGGGGAAUAUUGCACAAUGGGCGGAAGCCUGAUGCAGCAACGCCGCGUGCGGGAUGACGGCCUUCGGGUUGUAAACCGCUUUCGCCUGUGACGAAGCGUGAGUGACGGUAAUGGGUAAAGAAGCACCGGCUAACUACGUG